CUGAUUGUCAUUAAAGUCAUAGCACAAUAUUGUAAAUGAUCACCACGCCACAGGGAAGUUUUCUUUAGUCACAAAGAGCCCACUACUUCACAAGACAGUUUAGUCUAUUGUUAGAAUGCUCAACUGGUUCUACUAUCUGUAGUUCAUAAUAGCAGAAAUCUACUCUUUCUUCAACAUGAUGGUUCUUCAAAUAUUUGAGACUGCUCUCAUUUCUUCUCCAUGACAAAUCUUCUAUUUCCUUGGCAAACACAUCAACAGUCUUUUAAACCAUAUUUUACAUAAUGUUUUGUAGAUGCUGUAUUCUUGACUGUCUCCAGAUGUCCUGAUAUUGUAGGCUCCAUCGGUGCAAGAACUGAAUCUCUCAGGAUCACUAUCGUAUCCCCAGUACCUGGCAUAGAAUCUAGCAAACGUUUCCAGACUCACCAGGGAGUCCAGGAGAGAUCAGACGUGCUGGCCCAGACCAGAGAAAGAACCCACCUAGUUUAUACUGAUCCUAUUAUCAGGGCUGCUCUAAGCCAAUGCAGUGGGAGAGUCAUAUUGACAGAGAAGUGGGGAACAGGAAUUUGCCUCUUCCAAAUGGAGUUUCCAGUUUGACUGAGAGGCCCUUUCUGGCUAUGGAUUUCUAAUUGCUGCUGCAAUUUUAUUGAUCUCCAAGCAAGUCUUUAGAAAAUUAAGAGAAGAGA